UACGUAGGUCCCGAGCGUUGUCCGGAUUUAUUGGGCGUAAAGCGAGCGCAGGUGGUUUAUUAAGUCUGGUGUAAAAGGCAGUGGCUCAACCAUUGUAUGCAUUGGAAACUGGUAGACUUGAGUGCAGGAGAGGAGAGUGGAACUCCAUGUGUAGCGGUGAAAUGCGUAGAUAUAUGGAAGAACACCAGUGGCGAAAGCGGCUCUCUGGUCUGUAACUGACGCUGAGGUUCAAAAGCGUGGGUAGCAAACAGG
rnacentral:rRNA from 1 species